rnacentral:rRNA from 1 species
UUCCAGACUCCUACGGGAGGCAGCAGUGAGGAAUAUUGGUCAAUGGUCGGGAGACUGAACCAGCCAAGCCGCGUGAGGGAUGAAGGUACAGAGUAUCGUAAACCUCUUUUGUCAGGGAACAAAGGCGGGGACGCGUCCCCGGAUGAGUGUACCUGAAGAAAAAGCAUCGGCUAACUCCGUGCCAGCAGCCGCGGUAAUACGGAGGAUGCGAGCGUUAUCCGGAUUUAUUGGGUUUAAAGGGUGCGUAGGCGGAAUAUCAAGUCAGCGGUAAAAAUUCGGGGCUCAACCCCGUCGUGCCGUUGAAACUGAUGUUCUUGAGUGGGCGAGAAGUAUGCGGAAUGCGUGGUGUAGCGGUGAAAUGCAUAGAUAUCACGCAGAACUCCGAUUGCGAAGGCAGCAUACCGGCGCCCAACUGACGCUGAAGCACGAAAGCGUGGGUAUCGAACAGGAUUAGAUACCCUGGUAU